rnacentral:rRNA from 1 species
GACGAACGCUGGCGGCGUGCCUAAUACAUGCAAGUCGAACGCAUUUUCUUUCACCGUAGCUUGCUACACCGAAAGAAAAUGAGUGGCGAACGGGUGAGUAACACGUGGGUAACCUGCCCAUCAGCGGGGGAUAACACUUGGAAACAGGUGCUAAUACCGCAUAAUUCCAUUUACUGCAUGGUAGAUGGAUGAAAGGCGCUUUUGCGUCACUGAUGGAUGGACCCGCGGUGCAUUAGCUAGUUGGUGGGGUAACGGCCUACCAAGGCUGCGAUGCAUAGCCGACCUGAGAGGGUGAUCGGCCACACUGGGACUGAGACACGGCCCAGACUCCUACGGGAGGCAGCAGUAGGGAAUCUUCGGCAAUGGACGCAAGUCUGACCGAGCAACGCCGCGUGAGUGAAGAAGGUUUUCGGAUCGUAAAACUCUGUUGUUAGAAAAGAACAAGGAUGAGAGUGGAAAGUUCAUCCCUUGACGGUAUCUAACCAGAAAGCCACGGCUAACUACGU